rnacentral:misc_RNA from 1 species
GGAACUCAUUCGAGUGUCUUUUGUUACUAGUUGUUGACGCAGGCCUGUGCGAAUGUAGUGGGAGGGCAGCUGUGGUUCAAACAAGAGAUUUUGAAAGAAGUGGACAAUAAAUUUGUAAAAACACUAACGUCUUAUUAUAUAGUAAAGAAGAAUUGAGUGUUUUCCGUGACAUCUGUAACGAUAUCUGAAGUUUCAUCGGAGAACCUUAAAUAAUAGUGCGUUUAAAAUUUGCAAUAUUCACUGUAAGCCGAAGGAAAUGGUUAGUGAACUGCAAAAACCAAGAAGAACGAGAGGUACUCCUCUAUAUAAAAUACGCAGUUACUUUGCUCUCAGUGUUUUGGGAGUUGCUUUUGUAAGCGGUUUCUUGUUUCACAAAUCUGAUGGAGCACAAAAGCUGAGAACCUGGAUUGAAGAGAUGCUCUUGGAGAGUGCAGAAGAAACAAAAUUUAAGAGGCAGAUGAUGAGAGAAUUUUUAACAAAACACCCCAGAGAUGAAAGUGACUGACUAAAGUAGUAGGCACUGAUGUCCUCUGCAGAUGCAUUGUGACAGUAGAUUACGUGUGUUAAAAUGGACGUUAGAGAUCCAAAAAGGAAGAGAAAAGUAGUAUCCUCGAAGCUAACAAAACUCUCACUUAAGAAGAGUGCUCAAGAAUCAAAAACAGCAGAAGACAGUUUUGAUGGUUUUGGCAGCUUUGCUCUAUCUUUGCAAAGUUCCAAAGAGAUAGACGGGACAUCAUCAUCAUCAUCAGGAGAAGAAAAAUCAUGUUUUUUGAACAAAAACACUUAUUCUGUGAACAUUAUUGAUCUUUUGCCUUCAGGUAAUGAGGUGAGAGAUUCUCCACAAUCACAAACUCAGCCUCCCCACUAUAAAUUGUUACUGGGUAAAAGUCUGCCUUGUAAAACAUCAUUUGAGUUGUCAGAUGUAAAAUGCCUUAAAGGUAGCACUUGUGAGUCAGAUGAAAGCUUUGUUGAGAAUUUUGAAACGCCUAGUAAAGCAAAGCACUGUCGUGACAAAUCUGGUGAUUGUGAAGAAAUCAGAAAUCAAGAAGUGGUUGUUAAUGACAUUUCAUUAGUGUCCAAAGUUGAAAAUGAUGAUAUUAUUAGUCUUCAUUCCUCACAAACUGUGAACGAAGAGAGCUCUGAUAAUAAUACACCUCUCACAAAAUGUAAUAACUAUUGUACUGAGACUGACAGAAGCCUACCUGUGUUGCCAUCCUUAGAUAAGUUUGCAGUGAGUUGUUUAACUACAGAAUAUGGACGAGAUCAUGUUUAUGAUACUGUGAAUAAAAUAAUACCUAAUUCUGUGUUAGAAGAAGAAACAGCUGGAUACCUGUUAGUGAAUGAAUCAAAACAGGAACAGGAAUUGGUUCAUGCGCUGAAAAGUGAAGUGACUAAUUCAUCUUUAGAAGGUGCGGAUGCAUGUGUGCUUCAAGACACUACCUCAAGAGAUGCAGGGAAUGUACAUGAUGCAGAUGAUGAACAGCUAAGUCCCUACUUUAGUGCUUCUGAUCUGACAUGUCCUCUGUGUUGGAAGAAAUUCGACAAGAAAAGUGCCCAGACAUCCCAUAUGAAAUCAUGUGCUGUUAGUCAUAAUGUCACAACAAAGCAGCUUUUAGACGCCCUUGCAUUGCAGAGUAAACAAGCAGCUGAAAGGAAGGCUUUGGGACUGCCUGAGACACCAGUUGUUGCAGCACAAGUGCCAGCUAGGAAGAAUGUCUCCAGAAAAGGCACUGGUGUGCCUAAGGAUCAAAAUCUACAGUUGGCACUGGCUUUGUCAGUGUCAAUGAAAGAGGCAGAACAAUUAGAGUUAGAGAAAGAAGAAGAUGCAUUAAUUGAAGCUGGUUUGGGAGAAGAAGUAAUGGAGAGGCAGAAAAGCUUAUUAGAGAAAUUCGGUUUCACAAGCUCAAAACCACCAUCAUUGGACCCUGCAAAUCCCAGAGCAGGUCCAAAAAAAACCAAAUGCAGUGUCCCUAUCCUUAUGACUAGAAGCAGAGAAGAACGUGAGAGAUUAAUAACAGAAAAGGUGGCAAUUAUAUUGAUGGGCAAAGAAGAUGAAACAGAAACUUGUCAAAUAUCUGAAAAAUCAUCUGAUCCAAAAUGUAGAAAGCAAACAUUGAGUUCAAAAUACCUACUCAAGUUUUUGAAUAAGGAGUGUUACUUAUGGAUGAAGGCACAGAUACCUCCUGAAGGCACCCACAGAAAUUCCUAUUAUGUUAGUUACUUGGACACUUUUAUUACUCCUUCUGCUGUAGUUACUGGUAGUCAGUUGAAAGAUAUAUCAACGAUUCCAUGCCGAGAAAAAACACCAGUGAGGGGGUCCUUGAGUAAAGCAGAUACCAACCAAGAAGACUAUUAUCAACAGUCUGAUUUGAAACCUGUAAAGUAUAUCCCUGAAGGACCUUCUGAUUCAUUAGAUAACCAAGAAGAAACUGACUUUUCAUAUGACGAUAAUGAAAAGCAAGAUGUUUUGAGUUGUUCUACAUCUUCACCUCCCUUGCCGACUGAAUCAUUCCUUUCUUUCAGAAAAGAUUGCAUUCUAAAGAACUGGAAAAUGCAGGUUAAUAACAAAACCAUGAGUGAUGUUACAAUUCAUGUCAAGGGCAACGUGGAAAUUGCAGCACACAGACUAGUGUUUUUUGCUCAGGCUCCUUCGAUAUUAUGUGAUAUUUCGGAAAAAUCAGGAGAACAAGGUCAUCUGCAGUGGAAAGAUGUGUCAUUCAGCUCAGCUUUAGCAUUUCUGCAUUACAUUUAUUGUGGGAGUGUAGAGGAAAUUUGCUCACUACAAGAGGAUGUGAAUGAUAUUCGAUCAUUAGCUGUAAGAUAUAAUAAGUCUGAACUUUUGAACCACCUUGACAAGUUGAAGAACAUGGGUAGUAGUGCUUUGAAGCACUUACAUGAUGAAUGUUUGAAUAGCAGAAUAGGAGAGAAAUAUAACAGUAGUAAAACAGAAAGAACAAGCAGAAUGUCUGAUACAUUUCAGUCACAUUCUGAACUUGAUAUUGAAGAUUCAGCUGAUAUUCCUCAGCAACGAAACCUACAGCAUUGUAAGGAAAUUGGUAAAUGUGAAGAUUCUGCUGCUGAUAACUUCUGUGAUAUUGACUACACAGAAUAUAGCUCUAACCCACAAAGAUUUGAGGAAAUAUUGAGUAAGUCACAAAUAAACGAAAAUGAUAAUAAAAGUGACAGAUCGUCUCCAGAUAUAUUUUCAGAAUCACACACACCUAUUAAAACUAAUUAUAUUCAACGUGAUAAUAUUGACAUUCUCUCAAGUAUGCUUUGUAAGCUUACAUCAGGUCAUGAGCCAACAAAUAUAGAUGAUUCCGUAACAGAUGUGCAUGAAGAUGCAGAUUCUGUUUGUGAUUUAACUCAAGGAAGUCCAGAAGACUAUCUUACUUCAGACUGUGAGCCAGCAAAAGUAGUAGAAGUACCAGAUGAGUCUUUAUCAGAGAUGCCUGAAGAUGAAAACGUUUCUUGUAAUUUAGCACCAGGAACUCCUGAGGAGUAUCAUUCCAUUAAUUUUGCUGGUGUAUUAACAACCACUCCAACACCUGCAAAGAGAAAACUAUCUGACACCAUCUUGACACCAUCCAAAUGUGAUUCUCCAGCAAAAAAAAUCUGCAAAGAGAGAGACAGUUCACCCUUGCAAUUAGAAAGCAUAAAUCCAACUAAAGUUUUGAGCAUUCCAACUGAUUCUUUCAUUGAUACAAUAGAUUUAACACAAAAGAGUGAUGGAUCAUAUGAAAAUGAAGCAUAUCAACAAAAUUGUGCAGGUAGCUCUAGUAUGGAAGAAAAUAAUCAACCAGAUAGUGGAGCUGCAGGAACUAAUGGCAGUUCAUGUGAGACUCUCCCUCUGACAGCUUCAAAGAUUCAUUCUUUUGAAAUAGGAAAAUCAGAUAAAGAAAUUCAGUAUAAUUUGAAUAACUGUUCUGAAGAAACUAGUAAAGGAAAUGAUGCAUAUUGUUCUGACAAUUCCACUGCUGUUCCAGAAAAUCAUGAAAAUACUUCAUUGCCGACUAGUCCAUUGGAGUUUUGCAGAACAGAAGAAAGUCCAGAUUAUGGAAUCACGACAUUUGCUUCACCAAAAAGUACAUUGAAACCUAUAGAUCAAAUAACAGAAGAAACACAUGCCAAUUCUCCAUUAUCUGGAACCCCACUGGCUCUUCGUUGUUUGUCUCAGUUUCCAGAUGCAACUAUGAGGCGUAGUUUAUCUCAGAUGAUGUCUCAUUUAGUUGACAAAGAUACACAGUCACUUAUUUUGGCACAUGAUGAAGUAGAAUGCAAGCAGAUUUCUUCAGAUGUCACUAGUACUCAUGAUUCCGACACACCAAAAACGCUUAAGCAAACAGGUAUGGAUUCCUUAAAAAUGAUGCUGGAGGAUUCUUUUGUUGACCAAAUCCGAGAUAACUCAUUUUUCAGGGAGGAAUUUGUAAACAGCCCAUCUGGAUCUCAUAGAACUGAAACACAUGACAACAAGGUAAAUGAUGAGAAUUCUGGAAAUCCAGAAUACCAAUCAAUAACUCCAGUCAACAAAUCAAGUACAUCUGAAGAAUUAACACCUUUGCCUGACUAUAGUACAAUGAAGACACCACAGCUGAAGAAAGAACUGCAAAAAUAUGGAUUGAAACCAUUGAAAAGAAAGCAAGCAAAAUUAAUUCUGAGGCAUAUAUACAAUGAACUACAUCCAUGGGUUCCAGCAAACGAUACUGUAACCACACAAGCAGUAUCAUCACCAACGUCAUCACUGGUAUUGGAGGGCAGAAAAGGAAGGGAAAAUAUUGCUAAACAAAUAAAAAAUUGUGACCCACUUGUACCUACAAUGAGAAGUCCUCGAAAAAGAAAUAUAUUAAAAAGUUUGUCAGAUUCAGCAAAGCAACCACAAUUCCAAGGAUUAUAGUAUUCUAGUAGAUGAUGAAGAAAUAUUUCAUGAACAGAGUGCUACUAGUGAAAAUAGAAGUGAAGCUUCACAAGAAGUGGACUUGCAAACAGCUGUUCAAAAUUUCAUAAUAAAUAAUCCAGAAAUUCAUGAAAAGAUUUUAAUGUAUGAACCAGUAUGGUUAAAUGACCUCAAAAAUGGUCUGAAAGCUAACAAAAUUAAAUUCAAGUUGAAUGAC